UACAGCCCAGAUGGCAGAACUCGAAGGGCACUGGAUCACAUCCAUAUAUUCCGCCGUUGGAAAUCUCUCAUUACCAACUGUCGUGUGUACAGAGGAGCAGAGCUUGGCAACACAGACCAUCGCCUGCUGGUAGCCCACACUAAACUAAAGCUAAGAGCCAACCAGCUCCGGAAUACUCAGCCUUGUCUGAACUCUUUCCUACUCAGCGAUCCUAACAUCACCACAGAUUUCAGCUCCUCCGUCACUGCUAACAAGGUAACAGACUGGAGGACAUUCAAGGAAACUGUCAUCCAGGUGGCGCACACUGUCCCCGGGCGCCCCCCCCCCCCCCCCCCCCCCCCCCCCCCCCCAAGAGAGUAUUGGAUAUCAGAGAGGACUUUUAAGAUCAUUGAUCAACGACGAGAAGACUGGCUCCGUGGUAACUUGAAAGAGUAUUGCCGACUGACCCAUCAGCGAAACGUGGCCAUAGCUGAGGACAGAGGGAAGUUCUUGCAAACUGAAGCCCAGCGCCUCGAAUCUGCAUCUCAAGACAACAACAUAAGCAGCACCUUCAAUCUGUUGCGUCAAGCCCCCGGUGGUCCACGCAUAAAGACAGCCCUGGUGAAAGACGCCGAUGAAAAACUAUUUACAAAGCACAGCACUGUCUCAACCGACUCCAUCAGCCUGGUGGCUGCAAACAGUGCUGCCCUCAGCGCUGUUUGUAGAACAGAUCUUAUCACAUCCCAAGAAGUCAGAGCCGCUCUAAGACAUCUUAAGAACGGGAAAGCUCCCGGUAUUUGUGCCAUAACUGCUGAGAUGUUAAAGUCAGGUGGAGAGGGCAUGAUCGAGUGGCUAACCCACAUCUUUAAUGAGGUGUGGGAGUCAGAGAGGCUUCUAAUGGACUGGACUAGAGGGGUUAUUCUGUCCCUCUGGAAAGGCGAGGGUGAUAAGCCUAUCUGCAACAACCACAGAGGCAUAACACUUCUUUCCAUUCCUGGCAAGCUAUUCACCAGGAUCUUGCUCAACUAUGCACUCCAAGCCAUCAGAAGCAGCCGACAUCCCCAGCAGGCCGGCUUUAUGCCCAACCGCUCCACAACAAACCACAUCUCUCCCGUCCGUCUACUCAUAGAGAAGACCUUGGAAUUCCGUAAAGAUCGCCAUCUCUACAUUGUGUUUAUAGAUCUAAAGGCUACAUUUGACACUGUCUGCCAUACAUCACUGUAG
rnacentral:lncRNA from 1 species